rnacentral:rRNA from 1 species
CCUACGGGAGGCAGCAGUAAGGAAUAUUGGUCAAUGGAGGCAACUCUGAACCAGCCAUGCCGCGUGCAGGAAGACAGCCCUCUGGGUCGUAAACUGCUUUUAUUCGGGAAUAAACCUCAUUACGUGUAAUGAGCUGAAUGUACCGAAGGAAUAAGGAUCGGCUAACUCCGUGCCAGCAGCCGCGGUAAUACGGAGGAUCCAAGCGUUAUCCGGAUUUAUUGGGUUUAAAGGGUGCGUAGGCGGCCUGUUAAGUCAGGGGUGAAAGACGGUAGCUCAACUAUCGCAGUGCCCUUGAUACUGACGGGCUUGAAUGAACUAGAGGUAGGCGGAAUGUGACAAGUAGCGGUGAAAUGCAUAGAUAUGUCACAGAACACCGAUUGCGAAGGCAGCUUACUAUGGUUUUAUUGACGCUGAGGCACGAAAGCGUGGGGAUCAAACAGGAUUAGAUACCCUGGUAGUCCACGCCCUAAACGAUGAAUACUCGCUGUUAGCGAUAUACAGUUAGCGGCUAAGCGAAAGCGUUAAGUAUUCCACCUGGGAGUACGCCCGCAAGGGUGAAACUCAAAUGAAAUUGACGG